rnacentral:rRNA from 1 species
AAUGGCUCAUUAAAUCAGUUAUCGUUUAUUUGAUAAUACCUUGCUACUCGGAUAUCCGUGGUAAUUCUAGAGCUAAUACGUGCUAAAAACCCCGACUUCGGAAGGGGUGUAUUUAUUAGAUAAAAAACCAAUGCCCUCCGGGGCUCCUUGGUGAUUCAUGAUAACUUCUCAGAUCGCAUGGCUAUACGCCGGCGACGGUUCAUUCAAAUUUCUGCCCUAUCAACUUUCGAUGGUAAGGUAGUGGCUUACCAUGGUUUCAACGGGUAACGGGGAAUUAGGGUUCGAUUCCGGAGAGGGAGCCUGAGAAACGGCUACCACAUCCAAGGAAGGCAGCAGGCGCGCAAAUUACCCAAUUCCGAUGCGGAGAGGUAGUGACAAUAAAUACUGAUACAGGGCUCUUUUGGGUCUUGUAAUUGGAAUGAGUACAAUUUAAACCUCUUAACGAGGAACAAUUGGAGGGCAAGUCUGGUGCCAGCAGCCGCGGUAAUUCCAGCUCCAAUAGCGUAUAUUAAAGUUGUUGCAGUUAAAAAGCUCGUAGUUGAACCUUUGGCCUGGCUGGCAGGUCCGCCUCACCGCGUGCACUUGACCGGCCGGGCCUUUUCUUCUGGAGAACCGCAUGCCCUUCACUGGGUGUGUUGGGGACCAGGACUUUUACUUUGAAAAAAUUAGAGUGUUCAAAGCAGGCCUUUGCUCGAAUACGUUAGCAUGGAAUAAUAGAAUAGGACGUGCGGUCCUAUUUUGUUGGUUUCUAGGACCGCCGUAAUGAUUAAUAGGGACAGUCGGGGGCAUCAGUAUUCAAUUGUCAGAGGUGAAAUUCUUGGAUUUAUUGAAGACUAACUACUGCGAAAGCAUUUGCCAAGGAUGUUUUCAUUAAUCAGUGAACGAAAGUUAGGGGAUCGAAGACGAUCAGAUACCGUCGUAGUCUUAACCAUAAACUAUGCCGACUAGGGAUCGGGCGGUGUUUCUAUUGUGACCCGCUCGGCACCU